rnacentral:rRNA from 1 species
UACGUAGGGUGCAAGCGUUGUCCGGAAUUAUUGGGCGUAAAGAGCUCGUAGGCGGUUUGUCGCGUCUGCUGUGAAAACGCGGGGCUCAACUCCGCGCCUGCAGUGGGUACGGGCAGACUAGAGUGCAGUAGGGGAGACUGGAAUUCCUGGUGUAGCGGUGGAAUGCGCAGAUAUCAGGAGGAACACCGGUGGCGAAGGCGGGUCUCUGGGCCGAUACUGACGCUGAGGAGCGAAAGCGUGGGGAGCGAACAGG